UCUAACCGCAGAAGAAAAACUGAUAAAAUCAAUUUACAAAUCAUAAAACUUAGAUCUGGUUGAGUUGGGGUAUUAGAAAUUGAAACCAGAUAACUAGAUCGGACCGGUGUAACUUAAACCCACUUUAAAAAAACCAGGGGUAUAAAGACAAAACUAACAUAACCUGAACCUUAAAAUUUUUCUCCCUUUCCCAUUGAAAACAGCCGCCAGCCGUUCCUUCUCUCUCGUUCCACCUCUCUCUGUCCUUUACAGAUUACCUCCUCUGUCAUCUCCCCGUCUUCCACUGCCUUCUCUCUCUCGUUAUCUUCUUUUCAUCGAAGACCUAUUCUAAUCCAUUGGCGCCAUUGCAUGUGAUUGACUCCACCACAACAUCUCCUGCUACAAUCAUCAAACAGGUUUGGAAAACAAUGCCUUUUUUCUCUUUGUUUUAGUUAUUUUGUUAUGCAUUUAGGUAUUCAACUGAAUUUUUAAGUUUUUGUUUCUACUUCCAACCUUUUAUCCUAUCACUUGAGGUGUAACCCAUGUUUAAAUUUUUCUUCUUUUGACGGGUUCAUGUAUUUUUCGUGUUGGCAAAGCUUGUAUUUUUUUCGAGGCUUUUAUGAAAUCGUAGGCGAACUUUAUGUAAAUAUUUGGUAUGUUGCUGAAAUAUUUUGGAGAUAAUAAAAUUCUUAAUAUAUGUGCUAUACUCCUGAUCUCCGACGAGCAUUACUUUCUAAUGAUCGAUUCAACUUGAUCAUGAAGGAAAGUAUAUCAGUCAGGGACUUUAAUGUGAUUUUCAUGUUUAUAAUUAAGCUUAUACUUUACUUUAUAUAAGCUUAUUUGGUCAUGAGCAGGAGUAGUACUGCUGUUGCUGGAUUUUGUGGAUGCUGAUGUUCCUGGAAUUUGCAC
rnacentral:lncRNA from 1 species